UACAGAGGUCCCAAGCGUUGUUCGGAUUCACUAGGCGUAAAGGGUGCGUAGGCGGUCGGGUAAGUCUGACGUGAAAUCUUCAAGCUCAACUUGGAAACUGCGUCCGAUACUAUUCGGCUAGAGGAAUGGAGGGGAGACUGGAAUACUUGGUGUAGCAGUGAAAUGCGUAGAUAUCAAGUGGAACACCAGUGGCGAAGGCGAGUCUCUGGACAUUUCCUGACGCUGAGGCACGAAAGCCAGGGGAGCAAACGGG
rnacentral:rRNA from 1 species